rnacentral:lncRNA from 1 species
CAUUGCCGUUUUGAUUAAGAAUAUGGAACGUUUGAAAACCUUGGUAAGUAUUUUGUUAAAAGCACAAUGUCAUACCCUGCAGUUUUUUCAGGCAACUAGUUAAUGCGGUCGAAGUAUACAAACAUUUGGUUUAAAUUGUAAUGGUUAAAAAAUAUGAGAUCUAAUUUAUUUAAAUUGAAAAUAUGAGUUAAUUUUGUCACUAAAUUUAAACCUUGGGUUUAAUAUGUAAUUUCGUAAUCAAAGACACUUGCACAAAUUAUAUAGGCAGCGGAAGAAAUGCUAAUUUUAAUUUCAAACAAACCUUCCCAAUCUUUUUUUCCUAAUUCCAUUAAAUGUUGGUUGGAGUUAAAUUUUGCUGGAACCUGUAAAUUCACCUAAUGUAUAGGGAAAUGUGACGCCGUCUCAACAAUUGAGGUGCUUUCCCUGUGGCUACUUAGUUGGAGGUCUAAGCUUUUUGUGCUUGGAUUCUCCUAGACUAUGCCUUGAUGCUCUCUCUCUUUUUUCCCCCUUUUCUCCGGGCAAUUGAGGUGUAAUUUUGAUUAAUCGGUGAAAAUAAUUUACUAAAGAUAAAUAAAAGGUGAAAAGCAAAAUAGAUAAAAAAAAAUUAUCCCAAAUAGAAAGAAAAAUGAUUUUCAUACGUUCAUUUUCUUUAAUUGUAUUUUUCUUAUGUUUAUUGAAAUUAAAUUAUGCAAUUAUCGUAAUAAAAAUAUUUGAGUAAAAAUAAAUAUUUAAAUAAAUUUAUCAUAAUAAGGACAACAAAAUCUAUAAUAUAUGACACAAGUAUUUUUGAAUCUUUCAAAUUAUCUCUCACUAUUUACGGAUGAGAUCUAUUUGAGUUAAUACAAUGUCUGAAAUUUCACCUGAGACUAUUUUUUCUCCAAAAAAAAUAUCACUUCUUUUUUUCUCAAAGGUGUGUGUGGCCCACGUAGGUUGUAAAAAUCACAUGGUCAAACUAGCAACACUUUUUCAAAAUCAUUAUAUUUUUUAAUUUAUUCUUUAUUUUGUAGUAAUCUAUCUCUUAUAUGACGUUUAUAUCUUAUAUGUUUUUUAGGUUAUACAAAUUUUAAUGCACACGGAUGCGAUUUUUUUUUUUUUUACAUAAUGUCCGUGUGCACGGAUAAUUACUAACAGCUUAAUAUGAUCAAUUUAAUUGGUUUAGUAUUUUUCUUACAUCCCUAGGACUUGGGUUUGAUCGGAGAUUAUAUGCCGAAUAAAUUUUUUAAUUAGUAAAUAUUUUUGAACCAUAGAGAUGGCGGAAGAUUGUGUUGCCGUUUUGAUUAAGAAUAUAGGACUUCUGAAAAACCAUGGUAAGAAUAUAUCCUGCAGUUUUUUCAGCCAGUUAGUUAAUGCGGUUUCAGCCAGUUAGUUAAUGGGGUCAAAUGAUACAAUCAUUUGGUUUGAAUCGUAAUGGUUAAAAAAUAUGAGAUUUAAUUUCUUAAAUUGAAAAUAUAAAGUUAAUUUUGUCACCAAGUUUAAACUUUGGGGUUUAAUUUGUAAUUUCUCAAAAAAAAAGCAUUAAAAGUUAGAACUCAAAUCCAAUACCAAUCGGAGGCCGAUUCACUUUUGGGUUCUCUCUUGGCAAUUGCGAACUGCGAAGGCGACGUGAUUCUAGGGUUUGCGACGAGAAGAAGAUGAAAUCGGGAGCGACGAUCUGUGUGGAUGCUGAGCCCUAUUUGAGGGUGAAGGAGGAAGUGGAGGAAAAACAUGGCCUUCAAAUUGUUGGCGAAGGCGACGAGUAUUGCCUGAAGCAAAGCGACGAAAUAAGUGGAAUCGUAACGACGACCUUUUUGGGAUCCUGGAUGAUGUGGCUAAGCCCCUUUCGAGAGUGAAGGAGGAAGUGGAGGAAAAUCACGGCCUUCGAAUUGGGGGCGAUGCUAUGUUUUAUGCUCAUAUUCUUAUCGGAGGAAAGUUUGGAGAAUGUCAAAUUGGUAACUGUUAAUUCUCUCGUCUAUUACAUCUGUUGCUAUCCGUAUGUAAUCAAAUUUUGUUGUUGCUGCUGCUGCUGUUGUUAAAUCUCGUCUUUUCAUAAUUUCGGUUGAUUUUGGAGCUAUUCGUAGCCAUGGAUGGACGCAGACCUUGGGGCGGAUGGACAUACAUGGACGAAAAACUUGUGUCGAUUGCCUGAACAAAUUAUAUCAAUCUAGUAGAGUGCUAUUUUGUACAUCCACCUGGGUGAAUAUUACCCCAUUUAGAAUAGUAGACCCCGCAAUUUAGCCAUCACAGAUAGGAUAUUGAUGUGGGUGAACAAAAUAGCACUCACAUAAUUAAACUGAAACAUUAGAAGAAGAGGAAGAAUGAGAAGCUAAAAAACCUUUAGCUUGGUGGAUAUGACAAUGAAAAAGAUCUCCCCUGACAUGAGAUUCUUUCGUCAUUUGGCAUAAUUUUCUAAUAGAAAAGUUUAUCUGUUGGCCGAGUUUUUUUUCUAUCUGUGAAGACUGGCAGAACACGCUAUGGCCCGAUAUUUUCGUCAGGUGUUUAUCUGGGAUUUUCCUACCUUUGGAGAUUGGAUGCCUCCGUGCAUUCGCUUUGCACGGCAGAUUAGUUUUGUCAUUUCUAGCCCAAACCCACAAUUUAGAAGGUCGCCUUCUUUAUAAAAAAAUUGUCAAAGGGAAACAUAUGUAUCAUUUUUUGUUAGGCUUGAACAAAAAUCUCGAUGAAUUAGAGGACGACUUAUGGGCUUAAAAACCUCUGCCGCACCUCAGAGAGGCAUUUUAUGAACUCCGUCGUGAAAAAUUCGAAAAAAGCUCGUGAUGGGACCCCAUCAACAACUGAAAUAGGCAAGAAAGCUCUGUUUUUAAAACUCAUAUUCACUCCUUCUAAAACCGUCAAAAAUAAAGGAGGAAGGCCUUGGUGUGAUCAGUGUGGAAAGCCAGGUCACUCAAUAGAAACUUUCCAGAAUAUUCAUGAAAAAACAGCAGAUUGGAAGCCAUAUCAACUACUUGAGAAAGAAAGAUGUCCUUUUAUGUCAGCGUAGUCACAAACUGGUUCGUCUUCAAACAAUGUCAUUGAUUCCGGAACCUUGGCUCACAAAGGUAAUUCUUUAAGUGCCUUUAUUAUUGGUAAGAAAUUUAAAAAAUUUUGGAUCAUGGACUCGAGAGCAUCUGAUCAUAUGAGGGGAGAUAUAACAAUUUUUUAUAUAUAUAGCUUAUGUCCAAAUAAUCUAACGGUCCGAAUAGCGAAGGUUACCGAUAUAGGUUCAGUUGUGCUAUCACAGGAUCUUAAUCUCAACUCUGUUCUUCUUGUUCCUAACUUGGACUAUAAUCUAUUGUCAAUUAGUAAACUUACUAAAGAAAGGAGGCAUGUUACUAAUUUUUUCUCCAUUCACUAUGAAUUUUAGGAUUUGGAUUCGAGGAAGACGAUUGGCAAUGCUGAGGAAUACUCCAGACUCUCCAUCCUUAAGGAUCGCAACUAUCCACAAGAACAAUCUCAAACGACAUUUAGUGGUAUUCUUUGUUUUUAUUUGUGUCAAAAUAACGAUAGUGCAAUCAUGUUUGGCACUAUCAGUUAGGCCUCCUAAUGUUAUGCAUCUCACGCUUUAUUUUCUUCAUUAUUAUUCCUCCCCAAUCCCACCUCCUUUUUCUUUUUCCCUCUUUCCCUUCUCCCCUCCCCGACCCCCUCCGUUUCUUUCUUCAUUUUUCAUUCACCCCCUAUAAAGCUCUAAUCUUCUCAAUGAUUCCAUAGCGAUAUAUGGGGCUGUCCAGAUAAAAAAUUUAACUGGUUCUAUGUGGUUUUGGUCUCCUUAAUAUAUUAUCACACUAGAUUAACCUGGGCAUUCCUCAUGAAAGAAAUUUUGAAACGGGUUCAAAUCUUCAAAAAAUUUAAAAAUAUGAUUUAACUCAAUUUUAGUCAAAAAUACAAAUUCUAAAGCUAAUAACGCUAAUGAUUAUUUCAACUCUAUUCUAAGUUCAUUUCUAGAAAAAAAAAAAAAAAAAUAAAAGAGAGGAUAAUUCACUCCAAGUUUCCAUGUGUAGAUACACCAUAACAAAACGGAAUCGCUGGAAAAAAAAUAGGCAUUUGUCAAGGUGCGAGAUCGUAAUGUGUUUUUUUUUCUCCACAAAUGUUCCAAAAUUAUUCUGGGGGGAAGUUGUACUUUGGUGGCCUACUCAUCAUAGGAUUGCCGUAUAAGGUACAAACAUUCCCAAUGCUUUGUCAAAAGCGCUUAAAUCAUUUUUGAUACUCAUCGUUAUCUUCACCAUCCAAAUUUUUGGGUGGCUCAGUCUUUGUUCAUGUCCAUCAAUAGUAUACGAAGUAAAUUUGAAAUCAUAGUGUCACUCAAAUGCAUCUUUUCUUUGGUAUCUUCAAAUCAAAAAGGUACAAGUGUUACCUUCGUCACAAGAAAAAUCUCAACUAUAUCCCAAUUCUUUGGCAGUAUCGAAUGACAAUUUUUUUUUGCCAAUGUCAGUGGUCAGCGAGUGACAAGCGACGACCAUGACAUAUUAUUUUCUGCCUCCAUUUUUUGUAGGUUGGUGCUGAGGUUUCUGGUGCCCGUUGAAGCUCCAUUGAUGUAGUCUUCUUUCUCCUUUCCCCGUAUGAACAAGUAAGAUGACUAGACCAUUGUAAAUAAUUUUGUCCAUUCAGUUUAUGGGAGGAUCCCUGAAGAUAAGAGGUUUCCUCUAUAAAGGAUGAAGAUGAUGAGAUGUGCUAUCAGAAGAAGAGGAGGGUGAGUGGUAGCCAUUCGUAAGGUUGGAUCGUAUUUACGACAUGAAAUAGAAAAAGAGAAUCGAGUAGAAAAACUCGAACAUUGAUUGAAGAUGAAGAAAUUAUAUCAAUCUAGUAGAGUGCUAUUUUGUACAUCCACCUGGGUGAAUAUUACCCCAUUUAGAAUAGUAGACCCCGCAAUUUAGCCAAUCACAGAUAGGAUAUUGAUGUGGGUGAACAAAAUAGUACUCACAUAAUUAAACUGAAACAUUAGAAGAAGAGGAAGAAUGAGAAGCUAAAAAACCUUUAGCUUGGUGGACAUUAAUUUUUCAAAAAUUUCUCGGGUGGAAAAACUAUAUAAUUUGAAAAUAUUAGUAGCUUAUACUAUUAUUAUAAUGGGUUUUUACCUUGGGGUGGCGUUGGCGCCCUUCUAUCUCUAUCUCUCUCCCCUCAAUUCCUAAUUGUAGCCUUGUUGGUUUUAUUUUUCCCGUGACGCUUCAAUGGGUUUCGGUCCUGAUUCCAUUGUUGGUUGGGUUUUUUGAUGUUACUUUUUCUGGUUCUUCGAUUGGUGAUUACUGAUAUUUAUUUUUCCUUUUAUCUUAACCGUGAUGAUUUAUUUAUAUUGAAGAAGACAGUUUAAUGCUAGAGAGAUGCAGCAUAUCUCAAUGAAGCCUGUGAGUUGACACGAUCUAGAAUCUUAAGCAAUGAGGACGAGAAAGAGCUUGAUAGUGUUGAGCACAUUAUACGUCGGUCUUUGAUAGAAUACAACGAGCUGGUUAAGGAGAAGCAUCCGAUCUUCAAGCCUUGGUGGGAUCGUGUUAGCCGGGAACUUAAUGGUGCAG